AUGCAUGCUGGGCUAUAAUUUAUGAAACGGAGCCCAGGAAACAACCAAUCACUCAGCUUCUCCUAACAAGUCCAACUGGCUAUGAAAAGCUGGAAGUGCUGCACAGAACAAUGAAGAGAAGCUAUCCCACAUAUUAAUCUGCUUAUCUAGGAUUGCCUUCUGUGUAGAGAGAGGGAAGCAUGUAAAAUGGAGAGGGGGAAAAAAGAAAAAUCACAGUUUCAGUGUUAAAAGAACAGAAUAAAUUCCAGUGAACAUGAAAAUCCUCCUUUGCACUCAGAUGGC
rnacentral:lncRNA from 12 species